rnacentral:rRNA from 1 species
UACAGAGGUCCCAAGCGUUGUUCGGAUUCACUGGGCGUAAAGGGUGCGUAGGUGGUGAGGUAAGUCGGAUGUGAAAGCUCCGAGCUCAACUCGGAAAUGGCAUUGGAAACUACCUUGCUCGAGGGUUUGAGGGGGGACUGGAAUACUUGGUGUAGCAGUGAAAUGCGUAGAUAUCAGGAGGAACACCGAUAGCGAAGGCAGCUCGCUGGGACGGUACUGACGCUGAGGCGCGAAAGCGUGGGGAGCGAACAGG